rnacentral:misc_RNA from 1 species
CUGUAACAGCAAAUCUAUGGAGAAAAGUUCUCAAAUUUGCAAUUAUUGUUGAAGCGAAUCAAUCCUUGAGUUAUUUAGAUUCUUUUGCUAUACAUUAGCAAGAAGUCGUGAAUAACCAAUAACUAAAGCAAUUCAGUCUAAUAAUCCUAUGUAACAGCUGCAAAAUUGCAGCAAACAGUUCGAUUAUGGCCGCUGAUCAUGCUGCUACCACAUCUUAAACCACUGUUAACAAAUAACCAGAUCUCAUCAGUACAGAUGUGGUCUUAAUCAGCUAACGGCUAUAAACCCUACAAGAACAGGGCAUUCAGCAUCUAAAGAUAGACGAUAUAACAGCCUUGAUUUUAGGAGGGAAAAAGACGAAAUGUUUGGCAUGACAAUGGCAUAGAACCUCCAAUAAUAUCAUAUGCCAAAGGAUGUUGACUGAAAAAGAAUAGACAUGCCGACGAAAAUGACACACAACUCUUUAUUUUCAAAUAUCAGACUUCACAAAAACACAUUAAAUGGGAAGAGACAAUUUUGACAGUUUUACAGAGCUGCAUAUCAGAAACAUAACAAUUGAACCAUAACGAGAAGAAUGAUAGCAGAUCCUCACAUAGGGAACUCCAAAUAAAAAUGCUCCAGCAACAAAUUAUCAAUAAUCUUCACCUUCCUCUUCAUCUUCAUCUCCACCUUCAGCACCAACUUCCUCAUAAUCUUUCUCAAGAGCAGCAAGGUCUUCACGAGCUUCUGAGAAUUCCCCUUCUUCCAUGCCUUCACCAACAUACCAAUGAACAAAUGCCCUUUUGGCAUACAUGAGAUCAAAUUUGUGGUCAAUGCGAGAGAACACUUCAGCCACAGCAGUGUUGUUGCUGAUCAUGCAAACAGCACGCUGCACCUUGGCGAGAUCACCCCCAGGUACUACAGUUGGAGGCUCAUAGUUAAUACCACAUUUGAAGCCAGUUGGACACCAGUCAACAAAUUGAACCGUCCUUUUAGUUUUGAUAGUGGCAACAGCAGCAUUGACAUCCUUGGGAACAACAUCUCCCCGAUACAUCAAACAGCAAGCCAUGUAUUUCCCAUGCCUGGGAUCACACUUAGCCAUCAUGCUUGAAGGCUCAAAAACAGCAUUUGUAAUCUCAGGAACUGUCAACUGCUCAUGGUAUGCCUUUUCAGCUGAGAUGACGGGAGCAUAUGAAGAAAGCAUGAAGUGGAUACGGGGAUAUGGCACAAGGUUAGUCUGGAACUCUGUAACAUCUACAUUAAUGGCUCCAUCAAACCUUAAUGAAGUUGUCAAAGAUGAUAUAAUUUGCGAUAUCAAUCGAUUCAAAUUGGUGUAAGUAGGUCUUUCAAUAUCUAGGGAUCUUCGGCAAAUGUCAUAUAUAGCUUCAUUGUCAAGAAGCACAGCAACAUCAGUGUGUUCCAAGAGGGAGUGAGUUGAAAGGACACUGUUGUAGGGCUCAACAACAGAUGUGGAGACUUGGGGAGAGGGGUAGACAGUGAAACCCAACUUGGAUUUCUUUCCAUAAUCAACAGACAAACGCUCCAACAGGAGAGAUCCAAGACCAGAUCCGGUACCACCACCAACAGCAUUAAACACAAGGAAUCCCUGGAGGCCAGUGCAGUUGUCAGCAAGCUUUCUGAUGCGGUCCAAGCAGAGAUCAACAAUUUCCUUGCCAAUGGUAUAAUGGCCACGGGCAAAGUUGUUGGCAGCAUCUUCCUUGCCACUGAUGAGCUGCUCAGGGUGAAAGAGCUGGCGGUAAGUUCCGGUCCUAACUUCAUCAAUGACAGUUGGCUCAAGAUCUACAAAGACAGCGCGAGGAACGUGCUUCCCUGCACCAGUUUCACUGAAAAAGGUGUUGAAGGCAUCGUCACCACCGCCAACGGUCUUGUCACCUGGCAUCUGGCCAUCAGGCUAAACAAAGAAAGCAAAAAAAUAAAAAACAAAUCAAUAACUUACUAAUCGCAUAUCUAAACACUAUUAGAAAGCAGAUCUGGAGAAAGAACAGCAUUCUUAAUCAAAAUGAGAAUCAAAACUUGCAGAUCUGAUUCAAAACCGGAAGGCAAAACAGCAAACACGCACAGAUCCAGCUUUUUUUGGAGAAUUUGUACAUAUAUUACCAUAAUUGAGACAGAUUAAACACAAAUCUACCAGAAUUGACACAUAAUUGCUAAAAAUGCCAAAGAUACCCAAACAAAUUCAGAUCCAACGCAAAAAAAUGGAAAAAUUGAACACACAUUAUCAAUGACGAUAACUACUAAACACAAAUCUACCACAAAUAAAUACAAAAAUGAGAAAAAUACAAGAAAUCCCCAAACAAGUACAGAUCCAAAACAACAUGAUGCUAAAAAACGCAGAUCCAAGCAUCCAAUUGAACAAAGAGAGGUACCUGGAUGCCAUGCUCAAGGCAGUAAAGCUCCCAGCAGGCAUUGCCAACCUGGAUACCAGCCUGACCAAUGUGAAUGGAAAUGCACUCUCUCAUUUUCGCUGAUUGAUUUCACAAUAACCAGAAACGACGAAAAGAAGAAGUUGGAAGAGACUGAGAAAAGCUAUGAAACGAAGGCGUUUAUGAAGACGCCUUCUGAUUCAACCUUAGGGAUGGAGGCGAGGCUUUAGCUGAGACGGGGUAUUUAUGCUAAGAGAAACGAUAAACGGAGGUUGAGAUAUUUGGUGGAUUUAACUGGGGUUGGGUAAGGGACGUUACGGAUGUGAUGACGUGUAAUUGUCUGAUUGGUUCCUAUGUUAACUGUGGUUAAG